AUUCAUCUGAUGAAUCUCAAAUAAGACGAAACAUAUGUCCUGUAU
rnacentral:hammerhead_ribozyme from 1 species